ACUUCUUUUUUUGUUUCCCUGGAUGGAAAAAGUCCUCAAAGGGAAACGUUUGGCCAAUGUGGAAGAGGUAAAGCAAAAAACCACAGAAGCAUGAACAGCCAUCAGAAUCGAUGAGAUCAGAAACUUUUGAGCAGUGGGAAAAGUGUCUCGAGGGUGUUUUGCAUCAAAUGGAGAGUCCUUUGAAGGUGACUGAAGUUUAAACGUGUCAUCAGAGACUCAUUUGGGCACCAGAAGUGGAAAUGUGUCGCCUGUGUCCUGCUUGUCUAAACCCGCUUCUUUCUUGCCAGUGGGAUGCAGCUGGCUGUGUGUUACAAUGCUCUCGGCCCCUAGGAAAGAACAUUAUUGAAACAAAAUUCCUGCACCUAUUUUUGGGCCACGUUGGCUUAUUUCUAGAACGUUUGUAACUGUGAUUAAAAUAAAUUGCACAUUUCACUCAUUUC